CUGCCAGGUGGACUGUAAUGGAGCUGCUCAUGGACAUAACUGCAAGCAAACCUGAUUCAAAUGCCCAAGACAAGGGGGAAAAAAGAUGUGUUUGUGUGUUGGUUGACCCCAGAGGCCUGAUUACAACUGCGAGACCACUUGACUGUGAACUUUGACGUGGUGGUCAUCUUCUUCUGGCCUUUUACCGAGGUCCUCCACCUUUGUGUCUCUGUAAAAGCACACAGUCUUCCCUAAUCUAAACUAUUUAGUCUGGCUGUAAAUUCCUCUCAGGAUCAGUGCUAUAAUACAAAUAAUGACUACUUUCUGGAGGCUAGAGAUAUUUUAUUCAAGAUAAUACUAGGGCUAUCAAUUUAAUUUAUAAAUCUGGUGUCAUACCAUUCCUAAGUUUGGGGUCAGUAUAGUAUUUUAUUUUUAUUUUUAUUAAACACAUUUAAUUGAUCAAAAGUUACAGUAAAGACAUUUAUAACAUUAAUAAAGAUUCAUUAUGUCUUAUAUUUCGAAAGAUUCAUUAUAUCUCCGUUAUAUUUCAAAUAAAUGCUGAUCUUUUGAACUUUCUAUUAAUCAAAAAGUUGUGAAUCGGUUUCUACAGAAAUAUUAAGCAACAUAACUAUUUUCAAGAUUGAUAAUAAGAUUUUUUGACCCCCAAAUCAGCAUAUCAGAAUUAUUUCUGAAGGAUCAUGUGACACUUAAGACUUUUUAUUUAAAAUAAUAAUUAAAUAGUAAUAUAUUACCCUCAGCUAUAGGAUAAGUGUGCUUUUACUUUUUUUGGCAUUAACGGGUUCAUAUGAUCCUUUUUUAAGAUCAUUAUUUUGUGUUUUUGGUGUAACAGAAUAUGUUGACAUGCUUUAAUGUUCAAAAAAACAUUAUUUUUCAAAUACUCUCAAACAUGUCGUUUUCUACAAAGUUCUCCUUCCAACGAGAGCAGUCUGCUCUUAUUGGCCAACUGACCCAGUAAAUUGUGAUUGGCCGUACACCACAAGCACUCGACAGAAAUGUAACACCCCUUUCCAUUAUCACAAGCUUCAUCUUUCAAAAUAAAUGUAAAGACAGUUAAUAAUGUCCCUAGUUUUACCAUCAACUCGAGCCCAAAAGGGGAACAGAGACAGAGUAGAGUGACAGAGACAGUGAUGAAGCUCGUAUGUGUUUGCAGAACACAAUCCACAAAACGGUCGUCCAUAAAAUGCGUGUUGUUCUGUUGUAAGUAAUCUUAAAGAUUCCUUAAUGCAUCUACUUUCAGAAGACAAAAAUAAAGUGCUUUUGCUUUCGCCUAGAAACACACAGCAUCUCCCUGACAUGACUGCAUCAACACUAACUGUGGUUACUGAAACCACACCUUCUUUCAUUGCGUGAACAUUUGGGCGGCAUUACGCAAAUAUUUCCACAUAAUGACAUA
rnacentral:lncRNA from 1 species